ACCGAGUGGCGACGGGUGAGUAACGCGUGGGUAACCUGCCUCAGUACAGGGGGAUAACGAUUGGAAACGAUUGCUAAUACCGCAUAAGCGCACGGGAUCGCAUGAUCCAGUGUGAAAAACUCCGGUGGCAUAUGAUGGACCCGCGUCUGAUUAGCUAGUUGGUGAGGUAACGGCCCACCAAGGCGACGAUCAGUAGCCGGCCUGAGAGGGUGAACGGCCACAUUGGGACUGAGACACGGCCCAAACUCCUACGGGAGGCAGCAGUGGGGAAUAUUGGACAAUGGGGGGAACCCUGAUCCAGCGACGCCGCGUGAGUGAAGAAGUAUUUCGGUAUGUAAAGCUCUAUCAGCAAGAAAGAAAAUGACGGUACUUGACUAAGAAGCCCCGGCUAACUACGUG
rnacentral:rRNA from 1 species